GGGCCCGCACAAGCGGUGGAGUAUGUGGUUUAAUUCGAUGCAACGCGAAGAACCUUACCAGGGUUUGACAUCCUGCGAAUCUCUUGGAAACGAGAGAGUGCCUUCGGGAACGCAGUGACAGGUGGUGCAUGGCUGUCGUCAGCUCGUGUCGUGAGAUGUUGGGUUAAGUCCCGCAACGAGCGCAACCCACGUCGUUAGUUGCCAGCAUUUAGUUGGGCACUCUAGCGAGACCGCCGGUGAUAAACCGGAGGAAGGUGUGGAUGACGUCAAGUCCUCAUGGCCCUUACGGGUUGGGCUACACACGUGCUACAAUGGUAGUGACAAUGGGUUAAUCCCCAAAAACUAUCUCA
rnacentral:rRNA from 1 species